rnacentral:lncRNA from 1 species
GCUCAUGCUGAAGGCCUAUUUCCUAACCUACACUGGAGACUUCUUCCUUACUCCUGUGCCUAGGGGAAUGUGCCCAAGCUCUGGGCAGAGUGCCCCGUGCUCAUGCAGGUAGACGUUCCCGCUUCCCACUGCAAAGCCCACUAAGCAGCACGAUGUCCUGCUCUUUUAGUUAUCCAGGCACCAGAAGCCCAAAGGGGCAGCAGAAAAAUACUGACAAUAGAGGUAAGUCCGUUCUGGGUAAUUCAGUUCAUAAAGCUCGCUUUGGAGGAUUUCAUUUCUCCAUGUUAAAUACAAUAUGUUUUUCUUUUGAGACACCUCUUUUCGGCAGGAAAAUCCUGCCAUCAUCAUUUCCCAUUUGAGUUCCGUGAGCUUCUACCUAGAGGCAAAAUGGAAAUGGGAAUUUUAUAAUGAAAGAAGCAGACGGGGAGAGGAAUCUGCCGUCUUCUUAACAAGCCAGUAAGAGGCACUGAAAAUCUCAGAGAGCUGCCAAUGACAAGCAUGCUCAUUCUCAGCGCAGC